CCCUCCUUGUUCAACUCAAAAAUUGAAGGCCAAGACUCACAAAUCUCGCAAAAAGACAAGAAGAAAACGUGAUCUACGGACAAAGGAAUACGCAUUGAUCCGAACAAAAUCUUGAUCGGCCAACUUUGGAGAUCCAAACUUUUUCGAAAUUUGGCUAUUUUAAGGUGACAAUAAGGCACCAAGUACUUAGUGAAGUGUAGCUACAUGGAGUCUCUUUUGUGUUGUUAUUUUGUUAGCAUAUGUCAUGAAACGUGUAAGGCCAUAUGGCCGUAUUUGAUACAAUGUCUUUUGUAGUUUGAUUGUGGA